rnacentral:misc_RNA from 1 species
CGAGAGACGGCAGUCUUCGUCAGUCCGUCCGCAAUCGCGAUCACAGUGGUGUGCACUGACCGGGUGCCACUCCAUCUCCCAUCAGCUCUCAGCUAUGUCGUGUGUCUGUGACUCGUGUCAAUCGUGUUGUGAAUCCGUGUCGUGCCAGUGACCACUACAUUUAUUGCAUUCUGACCAUCAUCCAGAAUCGAGAAGUAGGCUGCUUCAAAAUCGGACGAUGCAUAUUUCUUAACAAUGACUGCAUAAAGUAGGCCAAUAGGUCUAGCCCAAAGCAGGGUUGAUUACAACUCGUCUCCAUGACCCGAGGAUAAGACCCCAUUUUCUUGGUCCAGUCUUUUGAAAACGUGAGAAAGAAUGGCAUCAAUAGAUGGACGGCCUGCCAAGUAUGGGAUCUCCCUCAAACAGCUGCGGGAGCUCAUGGAGCACCGCGGCCGUGAGGGAAUUGCCAAAGUCACCGAACACGGUGGCGUGCAAGAAAUUUGUAAAAAGCUUUACACAUCCCCCAGCGAAGGAUUAUGUGGCUCCCAAGCAGACAUGGAGCACAGAAGAGAAACAUUUGGUUCGAAUACAAUUCCACCUAAACCUCCUAAAACGUUUAUGCAGUUAGUAUGGGAAGCUCUUCAAGAUGUUACACUAAUAAUUUUGGAAAUCGCUGCCCUAGUAUCUUUAGGUCUUUCAUUCUAUCAACCCGCGGAUGAGGAAGGAUCAUUUGUGGUAGAUGAAGAUGAAUCGAAACACGGAUGGAUCGAGGGUCUAGCUAUCUUAAUAUCUGUGAUUGUUGUUGUCAUAGUGACAGCAUUCAACGACUACACUAAGGAACGACAAUUUCGUGGUCUUCAAAGCCGAAUCGAAGGAGAACAUAAAUUUUCUGUCAUCAGGCAAGCGGAAGUGAAGCAAAUAUCAGUGGGUGAUAUUGUGGUCGGCGAUAUUUGUCAGAUCAAGUACGGUGAUCUAUUACCAGCUGACGGUAUUCUAAUACAAAGCAAUGAUUUGAAAAUAGAUGAAUCCUCGUUGACUGGAGAAUCUGAUCAUGUCAAAAAAGGAGAAAGUUUUGACCCUAUGGUGUUGUCAGGUACACAUGUUAUGGAAGGAAGCGGGAAGAUGCUUGUCACGGCCGUCGGAGUCAAUUCACAGGCAGGAAUCAUCUUCACACUGCUGGGAGCAGCCGUCGAUGAGCACGAAGCUGAAAUAAAACAGAAGAGGAAAGAAGCUAAAAAGCAGCGCAAGAAGAACAGUUCUACAGGGGCAGGAGCUCAAGCGGCAGCUGCUAGCACGGAAAACCAUGCGACAAUUUCGGCGACUGACGGAGCGGCUGCAGCUGAAGCAGCGGCUGAAACCGGAGCAUCCGGUGGAGAAGGAGGAGGAGGAAGUGGAGGAGGAGGCGACGACCAUAAAAAGGAGAAAUCUGUACUUCAAGCCAAGUUGACGAAACUCGCUAUUCAAAUUGGUUAUGCAGGAUCAACAAUCGCCGUUCUCACUGUUGUUAUUUUGGUUAUUCAAUUUUGUGUAAGGACAUUCGUUAUAGACCAGAAGCCAUGGUCGAAUAGGUACGCCAAUGAAUUCGUUCGCCAUUUAAUCAUUGGUGUGACCGUACUCGUAGUUGCUGUUCCAGAAGGCUUGCCACUUGCCGUCACGUUAUCUCUUGCCUAUUCUGUAAAAAAAAUGAUGAAAGACAACAACCUUGUAAGACAUCUUGAUGCUUGCGAAACGAUGGGAAACGCCACUGCCAUUUGUUCCGACAAAACUGGAACAUUGACCACUAAUAGGAUGACUGUUGUGCAGUCGUAUAUUUGUGAAGUACUUUGCAAAACUACUCCAAGGUUUGCUAACAUUCCUCCGAAUGUUGGUAACCUGCUUAUCCAGGCUAUCUCUAUUAAUUCCGCUUAUACGUCACGUGUUAUGGCUCCAGAAGAAGCAUCCGAGCUUCCAAAGCAAGUAGGUAAUAAGACAGAGUGCGCGCUGCUUGGGUUUGUACAAGGCCUAGGAAAGAACUACCAGACAAUCCGAGAUGAUAUGCCCGAAGAAAUGUUCACUCGCGUCUACACGUUCAACUCCGUGCGAAAAUCGAUGAGUACCGUGGUUCCUCGACAGGGUGGCGGAUACCGACUAUUUACCAAGGGUGCCUCAGAAAUUGUUCUAAAGAAAUGUGCGUUCAUUUACGGUCGUGAUGGACAUUUGGAGAAGUUCACAAGAGAGAUGCAAGAUCGAUUAGUACGAAACGUUAUCGAACCGAUGGCCUGUGAUGGACUGCGAACAAUAUCGAUCGCUUAUCGAGACUUUGUUCCCGGCAAGGCUGAGAUCAACCAAGUGCACAUCGAUGCUGAACCCAACUGGGAUGAUGAAGAGUACAUUGUCAACAAUCUUACUGGAAUUUGCGUUGUAGGAAUUGAGGAUCCCGUCAGGCCCGAGGUACCUGACGCCAUCAGGAAGUGUCAACGAGCUGGUAUUACGGUUAGAAUGGUAACAGGUGAUAAUAUCAACACUGCCAGAUCUAUUGCUUCGAAAUGUGGAAUCCUUCGACCGGGAGAUGAUUAUCUGAUUCUUGAAGGGAAAGAGUUCAAUCGCCGAAUUAGGGAUGCUAAUGGAGAGGUUCAACAACAUCUACUGGACAAGGUUUGGCCGAAACUGCGCGUACUGGCUCGUUCAUCACCCACGGACAAGUACACUCUCGUCAAAGGUAUUAUCGACAGUAAAGUGAGCGAAAGCAGGGAAGUUGUAGCUGUGACUGGUGAUGGAACAAACGACGGCCCUGCUCUCAAGAAGGCUGAUGUAGGAUUUGCCAUGGGUAUCGCUGGAACAGAUGUAGCUAAGGAAGCGUCAGACAUUAUUCUAACGGACGAUAACUUUAGCAGUAUAGUGAAAGCUGUGAUGUGGGGAAGAAACGUGUACGACAGUAUUGCCAAGUUUCUCCAGUUCCAAUUGACUGUCAAUGUUGUUGCUGUGAUUGUUGCUUUCAUUGGUGCUUGUGCGGUGCAGGACAGUCCCUUGAAGGCCGUUCAAAUGUUAUGGGUAAAUCUUAUUAUGGAUACGCUGGCUUCACUUGCAUUGGCUACUGAAAUGCCUACUCCUGACUUACUGUUGAGAAAGCCAUACGGUCGCACAAAACCUCUAAUCUCCAGGACAAUGAUGAAAAAUAUUUUAGGACAGGCUAUUUAUCAAUUAGGAGUUGUGUUCACUCUUCUUUUUGUUGGUGACCGACUGCUCGACAUACCCACAGGUCGAGGAAACACCUCGUUUGAGCCGACUGAACAUUUUACCAUUAUUUUCAAUACUUUUGUUAUGAUGACAUUGUUCAAUGAAAUAAACGCGAGAAAAAUCCAUGGCCAGAGAAAUGUGUUUGAAGGAUUCUUCACCAACCCGAUCUUCUAUACCAUUUGGAUUGGAACUGCUCUGUCACAGGUUGUGAUUGUGGAGAUGGGACGAGAAGCGUUUUCGACCAAAGGACUUUCAUUGGAGCAGUGGCUAUGGUGCUUAUUCUUUGGUAUUGGAACCCUGCUCUGGGGUCAAAUUGUCACUACUGUUCCUACUAGAAAAAUACCGAAAAUUUUAUCAUGGGGAAGAGGUCACCCAGAAGAGUACACAGAGGCUAUUAAUCUUGGAGAGGAAAAGUUUGAUCCUGAGAAUGCUGAUAAGAAACCUCGAGCUGGUCAAAUUCUAUGGAUUCGUGGAUUAACUCGCCUACAAACCCAGGUGAUAGGUGGUGAAUUGCAAGAACGUUUGAUUCCGGUUCCCUACAGCAAGAGCUCCACAGAUCAAGCUUUGGGCAGACCUGUUCAGAAAAUAAUAAGCAGUGGCGAAAGCUGCAAAAACGAGGUCUUCCUCUGAGAAAAAGGAGAGAUCUCGGCCUUGGAGUUAGAAAUACGUCCAACUCGUCCAUAUAAAGAUCCGAGUAGUUAAUGCUUUUCGGCAAGGUCUGGACGCGCGCUACAGCGAGUCUCUGGCUGAAGCGCUCCGCAAGCAGACAUCGCUGAGCAAGCGACUAUCGCAGGCCUCUUCCAUAGAGUACGCCGACAAC